GCUUAAGCAAGGAUAGCUCAGCCCAGUAGAGUAUGAGACUCGUAAUAUCAGGGUCAUGGGUUUGAGCCCCACGUCGGGCA